UGAUGAUGCGGUAGAGGAGCGUUCUGUAAGCCUGUGAAGGUGAGUUGAGAAGCUUGCUGGAGGUAUCAGAAGUGCGAAUGCUGACAUGAGUAACGACAAUGGGUGUGAAAAACACCCACGCCGAAAGACCAAGGUUUCCUGCGCAACGUUAAUCGACGCAGGGUUAGUCGGUCCCUAAGGCGAGGCUGAAAAGCGUAGUCGAUGGAAAACAGGUUAAUAUUCCUGUACUUCUGGUUAUUGCGAUGGAGGGACGGAGAAGGCUAGGCCAGCCUGGCGUUGGUUGUCCAGGUUUAAGGUGGUAGGCUGAGAUCUUAGGUAAAUCCGGGAUCUUAAGGCCGAGAGCUGAUGACGAGUGUUCUUUUAGAACACGAAGUGGUUGAUGCCAUGCUUCCAAGAAAAGCUUCUAAGCUUCAGGUAACCAGGAACCGUACCCCAAACCGACACAGGUGGUUGGGUAGAGAAUACCAAGGCGCUUGAGAGAACUCGGGUGAAGGAACUAGGCAAAAUGGCACCGUAACUUCGGGAGAAGGUGCGCCGGUGGAGGUGAAGCAUUUACUGCGUAAGCCCCUGCCGGUCGAAGAUACCAGGCCGCUGCGACUGUUUAUUAAAAACACAGCACUCUGCAAACACGAAAGUGGACGUAUAGGGUGUGACGCCUGCCCGGUGCCGGAAGGUUAAUUGAUGGGGUUAGCGCAAGCGAAGCUCUUGAUCGAAGCCCCGGUAAACGGCGGCCGUAACUAUAACGGUCCUAAGGUAGCGAAAUUCCUUGUCGGGUAAGUUCCGACCUGCACGAAUGGCGUAACGAUGGCGGCGCUGUCUCCACCCGAGACUCAGUGAAAUUGAAAUCGCUGUGAAGAUGCAGUGUAUCCGCGGCUAGACGGAAAGACCCCGUGAACCUUUACUAUAGCUUUGCACUGGACUUUGAAUUUGCUUGUGUAGGAUAGGUGGGAGGCUUUGAAGCGUGGACGCCAGUCUGCGUGGAGCCAACCUUGAAAUACCACCCUGGCAACUUUGAGGUUCUAACUCAGGUCCGUUAUCCGGAUCGAGGACAGUGUAUGGUGGGUAGUUUGACUGGGGCGGUCUCCUCCUAAAGAGUAACGGAGGAGUACGAAGGUGCGCUCAGACCGGUCGGAAAUCGGUCGUAGAGUAUAAAGGCAAAAGCGCGCUUGACUGCGAGACAGACACGUCGAGCAGGUACGAAAGUAGGUCUUAGUGAUCCGGUGGUUCUGUAUGGAAGGGCCAUCGCUCAACGGAUAAAAGGUACUCCGGGGAUAACAGGCUGAUACCGCCCAAGAGUUCAUAUCGACGGCGGUGUUUGGCACCUCGAUGUCGGCUCAUCACAUCCUGGGGCUGAAGCCGGUCCCAAGGGUAUGGCUGUUCGCCAUUUAAAGUGGUACGCGAGCUGGGUUUAGAACGUCGUGAGACAGUUCGGUCCCUAUCUGCCGUGGACGUUUGAGAUUUGAGAGGGGCUGCUCCUAGUACGAGAGGACCGGAGUGGACGAACCUCUGGUGUUCCGGUUGUCACGCCAGUGGCAUUGCCGGGUAGCUAUGUUCGGAAAAGAUAACCGCUGAAAGCAUCUAAGCGGGAAACUUGCCUCAAGAUGAGAUCUCACUGGAACCUUGAGUUCCCUAAAGGGCCGUCGAAGACUACGACGUUGAUAGGUUGGGUGUGUAAGCGCUGUGAGGCGUUGAGCUAACCAAUACUAAUUGCCCGUGAGGCUUGACCAUA
rnacentral:rRNA from 1 species